UGCUAACUGCGAUGGAGAGACGGAGAAGGCUAGGCCAGCGCGGCGUCGGUCGUCCGCGUUUAAGGUUGUAGGUAGUGUGCUUAGGCAAAUCCGGGCACAUAAUACUGAGGGCUGAUGACGAGUCACUAAGGUGAUGAAGUGGUUAAUGCCAAGCUUCCAGGAAAAUCUUCUAAGCUUCAGGUUAGCAGGAAUCGUACCCCAAACCGACACAGGUGGUCGGGUAGAGAAUACCAAGGCGCUUGAGAGAACUCGGCUGAAGGAACUAGGCAAAAUGGUACCGUAACUUCGGGAGAAGGUACGCUGCUGUUGGUGGAGGGACUUGCUCCCCGAGCUGACGGCAGUCGCAGAUACCAGCUGGCUGCAACUGUUUAUCAAAAACACAGCACUGUGCGAACUCGCAAGAGGAAGUAUACGGUGUGACGCCUGCCCGGUGCCGGAAGGUUAAUUGAUUGGGUCAUCUUCGGAGAAGCUCAUGAUCGAAGCCCCGGUAAACGGCGGCCGUAACUAUAACGGUCCUAAGGUAGCGAAAUUCCUUGUCGGGUAAGUUCCGACCUGCACGAAUGGCGUAAUGAUGGCCAGGCUGUCUCCAGCCGAGACUCAGUGAAGUUGAAAUUGCGGUGAAGAUGCCGUAUACCCGCGGCUAGACGGAAAGACCCCGUGAACCUUUACUAUAGCUUGGCACUGAACAUUGACCCUGCAUGUGUAGGAUAGGUGGGAGACUAUGAAGAUGGGACGCCAGUCCUGUUGGAGUCGACCUUGAAAUACCACCCUUGCAGUGUUGAUGUUCUAACCUUGGCCCCUUAUCGGGGUUAGGGACAGUGCCUGGUGGGUAGUUUGACUGGGGCGGUCUCCUCCUAAAGCGUAACGGAGGAGCACGAAGGUUGGCUAAGUACGGUCGGACAUCGUACGGUUAGUGUAAUGGCACAAGCCAGCUUA
rnacentral:rRNA from 1 species